GACGAACCGUGCGAACGUUGUUCGGAAUCACUGGGCAUAAAGGGCGCGUAGGCGGGCCGUAAAGUCAGGGGUGAAAUCCUCCAGCUUAACUGGAGAACUGCCUUUGAUACUGACGGCCUCGAGUGAGGUAGGGGCGUGUGGAACUGAUGGUGGAGCGGUGAAAUGUGUUGAUAUCAUCAGGAACUCCGGUGGCGAAAGCGACACGCUGGACCUCUACUGACGCUGAGGCGCGAAAGCGUGGGGAGCAAACGGG
rnacentral:rRNA from 1 species